rnacentral:rRNA from 1 species
ACGGAAGGCAGCAGUGAGGAAUAUUGGUCAAUGGGCGGAAGCCUGAACCAGCCAAGUCGCGUGAAGGAUGAAGGUAUUAUGUAUUGUAAACUUCUUUAGCAGCAGAGUAAUAAGGGGGUCGUGACCCCCGAUGCAAGUAUGCUGAAAAUAAGGAUCGGCUAACUCCGUGCCAGCAGCCGCGGUAAUACGGAGGAUCCGAGCGUUAUCCGGAUUUAUUGGAUUUAAAGGGUGCGCAGGCGGUUUUUUAAGUCAGUGGUUAAAUCGUGAGGCUCAACCUCAUCACGCCAUUGAUACUGGAAGACUUGAUUGCGGUUGAGGUUGGCGGAAUUCGUCGUGUAGCGGUGAAAUGCAUAGAUAUGACGAAGAACACCGAUUGCGUAGGCAGCUGACCAAGCCGUAAAUGACGCUCAUGCACGAAAGUGCGGGGAUCGAACAGGAUUAGAUACCCUGGUA